rnacentral:misc_RNA from 1 species
GAUGAGAACGUAGUGAAAUGCGAUAAGUAAUGUGAAUUGCAGAAUUCAGUGAAUCAUCGAAUCUUUGAACGCACAUUGCGCCCACUAGUAUUCUGGUGGGCAUGCCUGUUCGAGCGUCAUUUCAACCCUCAAGCCUUAGUUGCUUGGUGUUGGGAGCUUAUCUUGCCGAAAGGCGGACAACUCCUUAAAACUAUUGGCGGAGUCGCGGUGACCCCAAGCGUAGUAAAUCUUUUUUUUCUCGCUUUAGGUGUUAACGCUGGCUUUCUAGCCGUUAAACCCUCUAAAUUUUUAGUGGUUGACCUCGGAUCAGGUAGGACUACCCGCUGAACUUAAGCAUAUCAAUAAGCGGAGGA